rnacentral:rRNA from 1 species
CUGGCUCAGGACGAACGCUGGCGGCGUGCCUAAUACAUGCAAGUCGAACGCUCUCCCGGUGCUUGCACCGGGAAAGAAGAGUGGCGGACGGGUGAGUAACACGUGGGUAACCUACCUACAAGCGGGGGGAUAACAUUCGGAAACGGAUGCUAAUACCGCAUAGAUCUUUUUGUCUCCUGGCAGAAAGAAGAAAGACGGUUUCGGCUGUCACUUGUAGAUGGACCCGCGGCGCAUUAGUUAGUUGGUGAGGUAAUGGCUCACCAAGACGAUGAUGCGUAGCCGACCUGAGAGGGUGAUCGGCCACACUGGGACUGAGACACGGCCCAGACUCCUACGGGAGGCAGCAGUAGGGAAUCUUCCGCAAUGGACGAAAGUCUGACGGAGCAACGCCGCGUGAGUGAAGAAAGGUUUUCGGAUCGUAAAACUCUGUUGUUAGAGAAGAACAAGGAUGAGAGUAACUGCUCAUCCCUUGACGGUAUCUAACCAGAAAGCCAUGGCUAACUACGUGCCAGCCGCCGC